rnacentral:rRNA from 1 species
CCUACGGGAGGCAGCAGUGGGGAAUUUUGGACAAUGGGGGCAACCCUGAUCCAGCAAUGCCGCGUGAGUGAAGAAGGCCUUCGGGUUGUAAAGCUCUUUUGUCAGGGAAGAAACGGUUCUGGUUAAUACCUGGGGCUAAUGACGGUACCUGAAGAAUAAGCACCGGCUAACUACGUGCCAGCAGCCGCGGUAAUACGUAGGGUGCAAGCGUUAAUCGGAAUUACUGGGCGUAAAGCGUGCGCAGGCGGUUGUGCAAGGCCGAUGUGAAAUCCCCGGGCUUAACCUGGGAAUGGCAUUGGUGACUGUACGGCUAGAGUGUGUCAGAGGGGGGUAGAAUUCCACGUGUAGCAGUGAAAUGCGUAGAGAUGUGGAGGAAUACCGAUGGCGAAGGCAGCCCCCUGGGAUAACACUGACGCUCAUGCACGAAAGCGUGGGGAGCAAACAGGAUUAGAUACCCUGGUAGUCCACGCCCUAAACGAUGUCUACUAGUUGUCGGGUCUUCAUNUACUUGUACGACAGCUACGCGUGAGUAGACCGCCGUGGGAGGUACGGUCGCGAAGAAGUUAAACUUAACGAAAGUAAAGUUAGUUAGGACGUUGAGACGNGCGACGGACGACGACGAGGGAGGAGG